rnacentral:lncRNA from 1 species
AUAGUCACAAGCUGGAAAGAACCCAGAUGUCCCUCAACACAGGAAUGGAUACAGACAAUGUGGUACAUUUACACAAUGGAGUACUACUAAGCUAUUAAAACAAUGAGUUUAUGAAAUUCUUAGAAAAUGAAUGGAUCUGGAGGAUAUCAUCUUGAGUGAGGUAACCCAAUCACAAAUAAAACACAUAUGAUAUGCACUUACUGAUAAAUGGAUAUUAGCCCAGAAGCUCAGAAUUCUUCUUAGAAGGGGGAACAAAAUACCCAUGGAAGGAGUUAUAGAGACAAAGUUCAGACCAGAGACUGAAGCAAUGACCAUCUAGAGGCUGCCCCACUUGGGGAUCCAUCCCAUAAACAACCACCAAACCCAGACACUAUGGCCAAUGCCAACAAGAGCCUGCUGAAAGGAACCAGAUAUAGCUGUCUCUUGUGAGACUAUGCCAGGCCUAGCAAACACAGAAGUGGAUGCUCACAGUCAGCUACUGGAUGGAUCACAGGGCUCCCAAUGGAGGAGCUAGAGAAAGUACCCAAGGAGCUAAAGGGGUCUGCAACCCUAUAGGUGGAACAACAAUAUGAACUAACCAGUACCCCUCAGAGCUGGUGUCUCUAGCUGCAUAUGUAUCAGAAGAUGGCCUAGUCAGCCAUCGGUGGAAAGAGAGGCCCAUUGGUCAUGCAAACUUUAUAUGCCUCAGUACAGGGGAUCAUCAGGGCCAAGAAGUGGGAGUUGGUGGGGGGGGGGAGUAGGUGGGGGAGCAUGUGGGAGACUUUGGGGAUAGCAUUGGAAGUGUAAGUGAAAUAAAUACCUAAAUAAAUAAAUAAAUAAAUAAAUAAAUAAAUAAAUAAAUAAAUAAAUAAAUAAAUAAGAAACCUACUCCAGAGGGCAGCCUUGCUAUUGAGAGUUGGGCUAAACCAGCUGUUCUCCCCAUUGGUUUUUGAACCUGCUACAGUUUUGUUUAGUUUUUGUUGACUGUGUUAUAUAUGGUUGGCUUUUUCUCAAGAACUGGAAAAUUUCUAAAGAAUUCUCCAUUUCCCAUCAGAUACAAAAUAAAAAAAGAAAAAAAAGUGUUUCUACAAAAAAGAAGAAGACUAGUAGCGGCUGUGACUCAGGAGUGGGCUGGGUAGAAAUCAAUAUAAGUGGAAAAAUGCCAGGGAGUUUAAGGUUGAAAACAUGUAGAAAAAAAUAGAAUCUCUGAUUAAGAACAUCAACACAUUUUAGAUUUUCUUUGGCUUUAGACUUAAAGGUUUGUUUUCACAUGAGAUUUUCAUAGUAUUUUAAGCAUUGGUAUAUGUAGGGAAUAUUUCAGGCACCAUUAAUGGAUCAUAGUGAUUAUAAAAUGACUGACACUAGGAAGGACCUUAGAUGGAAUGCCCAACAAUAGGGAGAGGG